rnacentral:rRNA from 1 species
UACGGAGGAUGCGAGCGUUAUCCGGAUUUCUUGGGUUUAAAGGGUGCGUAGGCGGACGCUUAAGUCAGCGGUAAAAUUGCGGGGCUCAACCUCGUCGAGCCGUUGAAACUGGGUGCCUUGAGUGGGCGAGAAGUACGCGGAAUGCGUGGUGUAGCGGUGAAAUGCAUAGAUAUCACGCAGAACUCCGAUUGCGAAGGCAGCGUACCGGCGCCCAACUGACGCUGAAGCACGAAGGCGUGGGUAUCGAACAGG